rnacentral:rRNA from 1 species
UGGGGGCAACCCUGAUCCAGCAAUGCCGCGUGUGUGAUGAAGGCCUUAGGGUUGUAAAGCACUUUCACUGGUGAAGAUGAUGACGGUAACCAGAGAAGAAGCCCCGGCUAACUUCGUGCCAGCAGCCGCGGUAAUACGAAGGGGGCGAGCGUUGUUCGGAAUUACUGGGCGUAAAGGGAGCGCAGGCGGUUCAUUCAGUUAGGCGUGAAAGCCCUAGGCUCAACCUAGGAACUGCGCUUAAUACUGAUGAGCUAGAAAACAGGAGAGGGUAGUGGAAUUUCCAGUGUAGAGGUGAAAUUCGUAGAUAUUGGAAAGAACACCGGUGGCGAAAGCGGCUACCUGGCCUGAUUUUGACGCUGAGGCUCGAAAGCGUGGGGAGCAAACAGGAUUAGAUACCCUGGUAGUCCACGCCGUAAACGAUGACAGCUAGAUGUCGGGGGGUCGCCCCUCGGUGUCGCCGCUAACGCAUUAAGCUGUCCGCCUGGGAAGUACGGUCGCAAGAUUA